GCAAUGUAGUUUAACAUGUCCAGGCCUCUAGAGGGAGCUAGUUCAUCUUAGUGUCUCUAGUAUCCCAUAUAAAGGUGGCAAAGGGCAUGUUGCCUCCAACAAACAAACCUCUGUUGUGGAGAAGCUCUUGCUGCUCAACUUUCCAAGUCCUCUGUUUGAGGAACUUCCAUUCCCUUUUCAUUCACAAACAGGUUUUGGGCAGCAGGACACUAGCAUUGCUGCUACUGAGUGCUGGUUGGUUGGUGAGUGGAGCAGCUCAUUGGUUGUUUGGGGCCACAGAUGUCCUGAACCUACAUGAGUGUUUCUCCCUCUAGUGUUUAUGGAACCUGGAAGAUAUUAGAGUGGAACACACCCUGGAGGUAGUGCUACCUCUUCAUCCUCAGAUGUUGAACUGAUAGCAGAUUUGAUGGUACAGUGAGUCACUAUCAAAGUGGUAUACAAGACAUGAUGGACCAGGGCUAACUGGUUAGCUUGCUAACUUCAGUAGAUAUCUCUACAA
ensembl:lncRNA